CAUGUCUAUUCCUAUUGUCCUUGUUCAGUUCCUGUUUGGGCAGUCAUGGUGGCGAGAUUUCACGGGUGCAGCUUCUCACAUUCCUAGGAGACACGACCUCACAGCAAAUCCCCUGAUCCUCAGGCACUUUCAACCUUUCCACCUUAGAACCCCAGACAGAUUGGUCAAAUGCUCUUCCAGAGGACUGACCAACUCAUAUCACCGUAAACAAGGUCAUAAUCUGUCAUUGUGUUUCUAAUGAUUACUGGGCAUUUUUACCAUAAGCCCAUUGAACAGAGUGCUCUAGCUCCUGGAAGGCCCAAUGCCUGCCUGAAUUGUUUGUGUCUCUUUUAGUUUUUAUUGUUUACAAUUACUCAAAAAAUAGCCAGAAGAGCAGGCUCUUUCCAGAAGUUCUACAAAAUCUUCAGCCCUUCAGUUAUACAUUUUCUCAUAAGGAAUGGAAUAGAACCGCCCCCCCAUACUUUGAAAACAAAAUCUCCCAUAGUCUCUCUCUUUUCUGUCACAGUUUCGUAAUUCAAACAACUGUUUCUCAAACAAGGACUAAAUAAGGCUUGUAAAAACGUGUUCAAAACCUAACAAAGAAAGGCAGGGUGGAAGCAGACCGCUCCUUGUUUACACACUGAGUGCAAAGACGUGAGGCUAUGACUGGAGGCUAGCUGCGCCCUUGCCCAGGACAACUGAGUGUUGAGGAUCUAAUUCGGUCACAAUGAGGUUACACAGGGGCGGGGCCCCCAAUCCAGAAUGACUGGCCAUGUGAGGACAGACAGACACAGGGGAGGGCACAGUGGUGACGGGAACAGGGACUGUCGUCAGUCAUACAGCUGCAAGCCGAGCGGAGCAGCAGGAAGAGCCAAGGACGGGGAUUCGCCCAGGCACGUCAGAAGGAGCACACAGUCCCCAGAACCGCUAGACAAUACAUUUCUACCGUUUUCCCUUCCUUGCUUUGUGGUACUUGAUUACAGCAGCUCUAAGAAACUAAUCGAAUGGUUAGGAGGAAGCAGAAUACCUACGGUUCCGGCUACGGUUGCUAGAGCUUGAAUGAACGUCAUCCACAGCUGUCUUCUCUUUACCUUCUACCAAAGCUCACAGCUCAGGAGGACUGUAGGACAGCAUUCUGUCUAACGAGAUUUUGUGACUAUGUGGGGUGCCUAGAAGAACAAGCUGAUGGGAACUAUGUGAGGAGACAGACAAUAUGAAGCCAGACAUGUCAUCUCCAAGGCGUCACUGCUCUCAAAGGACAAAAGUAGUGACCCUUCCCAUGGCAGCCCUGCAAAUGCUUAAGGAAGUCCACCCUACUCUUGAUCGCACAUCUGUGUAGUGGGGAGUUGUUCCAGCUGUGACCUUGAAGCACUGCCCCCAGUGAGGUAGCAGGUAACGGUUACACCUGCCUAUAACCUUUAAGUAUAUGCCCCUGGGGUGUGGCCGUUGGGAACCUGGGAUGCACAUAUGUGGCUCAUUCUUUGCUCCCUUGGGGUUUUGGAUGCUGGAGACAGAGCAGGCAAAAGAACAGCAUGGGACUGUGCUUCAACCUUCCAGAACCCUGCAAUAAUUCCCCUGUUCUGGACGGUGAGUGUUCCUUCUCUGAUAAAUUCCUUUGCCCUUUAAGCAGACUCCAUAGAUUGCUAGCAAUAUCUGGACCUGAUAAUACAUCUCUUAGUCAGUUUAUACACAGACAGUAAAGUAUAAGUGUGCUGGUUUUCUGCUUCUCAGUUAAAACCCAUAUGACACUUGACAAAAAUUCAAGUGUAACAAAGAAACAAGAGGCAAUAACAGCGGAGGUGAAACUGAAAUUGAAUACCAAGGGAGGUACCAAGGAGGGGCUGACGGUGGGAACCUGAGGAACUGCUGCCCUAAGAGAGGCUCUGGGUGGGAAUGUGGCUAGGAGAAGCCGGUAAAGGCGUAUUGACGGGAGUGAGGAAGGUGGUUUCCGAAAGAAUGAAGAUGCCCCAGAGGAAGUAACGUCGUCUGCCAAAAACUUCACAUUAAAAGAAUUUUCAAAGAUAUUUUACAACAUUGAAAGUGCACAGAACAAAAUGUUGGAAGCUUAUCCAAACUUAGAAAUGAAUAUGACAAUUUGUCAGGUGUAGAGAAGGUGCUUGCUUCAGAUGGUAAGUUAUCUGAUGAGACUAUGAAAGUUCUGAUCAAAUUACUCUUGAUAAGCUAUUUGCAAAGAAAUAAAACCCAAUUUUGAAUGUUUCUCAUGUUUCAAGUUAGAGUGAACUAUUGUAUUAGUUUUAUAAUUCUCUCCUCCUUCUUAUGUAUUUGAAGCCAGUAGAAAAAGUUUUAAAUGUUUUGACAAUUUUUUUUAAAGAUCAAGAAACAAACAUAUUUUCUGUUGAUUAGUAACAUUAUUUUAUGCUAUAGUUUUUAUAGUCCCACACCAUUGUGGAAAAUAAAGACUCAUAUUUAUAUCCAUACCUACUUUGAAUAGUUCAUUCACAUAGAUUCCUAAAGGGGGAAUGUUGGGUCAAAGGUUCAUACAUGAUAAUCAUUUUGAUAAGUACUGGUAGAUAAAAAAGUCAUAAUCUCAUUCAAGAGGAAUUCGAAUAACCUUUUCUCCACAUCAUUAAGAGCUAAAGCUGGACACAUCUGUAAUCCUAGCAUGGGGGAGGCGGAGGCAGGAAGACUGCAAGGUUAAGAGCUAUGCUGCAAGAUCCUAUCUCUAAAAACAAAAUAACAAAACCAGACCCUAAAAACUAUAGCAUAAAAACCACAGGUAGCUAGAAGAAGAAUGCGUUGUGGUGGUAUUACAUAUAACUGCGGUGCUGUUACAUAGAACAAUUUCCUCUGAACUGAAGUUUUCUCUCUAGCAGAUAGGAGCUCAUGACACUCGGGAAACAAAAGCUCUUCACAAAGGUGAAAUUUACUGGGUUCAAAAGGCCCCUUCCCAAGGUUACAGUAAACAACCGCUGAGGGAGACCCGCCUACUUGACCCCGCCCACUUGCUGACGAAGAGACAAUGACCCGCCCACUUGCUGAUGAUGGGACAAUGACCUGCUCAUUUGACCCCGCCCACCUGCUGACUUGCUGUUCUCCACCCUUCUGCUUUAGAGUGCUCCAAGGUGCAGCGUUUGAGUUUCUUGAUUGAGUGUUGACUGGGGUUUUAGGUGCCGUGGCUGCUUUUGAGUCUUCUCUGCUCCUGUAAGUGACCCUGUUCCCACACUUCCUGUUCGUAACUCCAAUAAAAACUCAUUAUUCAUCAAGUUGAACUCUGGUGCAAUCAUAAUUUGGCCGGUUACGAUGGGUUCCCUUUCUGGGGUGAGUAGACGUGUGUGCUGCGUCUUUCCAGGGAAAGUCUCCCACACAACAGCUGUGACUAGACCGAAAAAUACCUGUACAGCUCAGAACAAAUUCUGAAUGUUUCCAAAACAAACACCAUAAAUGUUCGGUGUGAUGCAUACACUAACUAUUGAUCUAAUCAUACUUUGUGUAUCAGACAUAUUACACUCACAAGGACAUAAUUAUUAUGUGUUGAUUGAAAAUAAAACUAAAUGAUAAAUACUACUAACAAAAGAAUUGUGUUGUUGUUGUCUUUUUUUUACCAAAUGGCAUGGAAUUCAGUCAAUUUACUGCUGUGGUCAAGCAACUUUGAAAGUAGCACUCUCUCCCUUAAGACAUGCUACUUAAGGGAAGAAAGACUAUGCCCUGAGA